GAUGAACGCUGGCGGCGUGCCUAAUACAUGCAAGUCGAACGCUGAAGGAAGGAGCUUGCUCUUUCCGGAUGAGUUGCGAACGGGUGAGUAACGCGUAGGUAACCUGCCUGGUAGCGGGGGAUAACUAUUGGAAACGAUAGCUAAUACCGCAUAACAGUAGAUGUUGCAUGAUAUCUACUUAAAAGGUGCAAUUGCACCACUACCAGAUGGACCUGCGUUGUAUUAGCUAGUUGGUGAGGUAACGGCUCACCAAGGCGACGAUACAUAGCCGACCUGAGAGGGUGAUCGGCCACACUGGGACUGAGACACGGCCCAGACUCCUACGGGAGGCAGCAGUAGGGAAUCUUCGGCAAUGGACGGAAGUCUGACCGAGCAACGCCGCGUGAGUGAAGAAGGGUUUCGGAUCGUAAAGCUCUGUUGUAAGAGAAGAACGAGUGUGAGAGUGGAAAGUUCACACUGUGACGGUAUCUUACCAGAAAGAGACGGCUAACUACGUG
rnacentral:rRNA from 1 species